rnacentral:rRNA from 1 species
UACCAGCACCCCGAGUGGUCGGGACGAUUAUUGGGCCUAAAGCAUCCGUAGCCGGUUCUACAAGUCUUCCGUUAAAUCCACCUGCUUAACAGAUGGGCUGCGGAGGAUACUAUAGAGCUAGGAGGCGGGAGAGGCAAGCGGUACUUAGUGGGUAGGAGUAAAAUCCGUUGAUCCAUUGAAGACCACCAGUGGCGAAGGCGGCUUGCCAGAACGCACUCGACGGUGAGGGAUGAAAGCUGGGGGAGCAAACCGG